UUGAGAAAAAAAAAAAAAAAGUUAAUGUUUACAUAAUUCAAAAAACGAGUUCUGUGUGAAUGGCCCCUUGUUGCCAUAGAGGGCCUACAACUUUACAUUUGAAAAUGGCAAAUAAAUACUGCAGUUUUGUGGCAGGCUUGUUUUAAAAUGACGUAAACCCUAAAACAGACAACACAACGGCCCAUUGUUUUUAGUUUGUUUCCUUGCAUUUUUCUUUUUAACCAUAGCCACUUCUUCUUGUUCUCUUUUUAAUUGCUUAACUGCACCCCAUUGGCAGUGCUGAUAUAUGCUGAAUCAUGCAAAGCAUGUGAUAGGCUGGUCGUAGCGCUGCACAAAACACAUAUCUCAUACAAAACAUAGGCAAAGCCCUGAGUAUAAUGGCACAGGGGCUCAUAAAAUACCACAUGCUCCCUGCCAGGGUCCUGUGUAUUUUUGAGCCUGAUUCAUACUGACAGAAGGCUUUUUUCCACUUUGUGGAAUUACAUUAUAACAGUGCAUAGUGACUUCAACCAGCCAAACCAACAGGGAAAAGAUUCAAUUAAGUUUGGCGAACAACUGGAGGAUAAAAACAAACAAAGAUGAAAUAUGAAGCAUAAUGAACAACAGCAGACUUCAUAAAAGAUUACACGAAAUAUGUAAAUACAAAUGCUGAUGAUAAAAUGUUAUUCAAUGGGACACAAACUACUUUUCAAGUAUGUGAGAAUUCUAUAUUUUUAUAGUAAUUCUUUUUGUCCUUUUAUAGAUCUUGACAGCCGCAAGUUAUGCUUUCAAUGAAUGAAAAAGAGCAACAAGAACAUUCUUCUAAAUAUCUCCUUUUGUGUUUCCACAGGAGAAAGAAAGUCAUUCAGCCUGUCUCACUGAACAAUGCCGCCCAGUGUGUGUUCAGGGCCACCGGCCCCAACGUUACUGCUUUAGGAGCGGGAACCAAGACAGGAGCUGACACAAAGCAGCUGUCUGAGACCACUAGAGUUGCAGGAAGUCCUGCCAACAUCUGGUCCUUCUAUUAGAGACCCUCGAGAACCAAAGCAGGCGACAGCAGGCUCUAAGAGUGAGACAGACUCUAAAGGGAAAGACAUCCAUCUCAUGUGAAGUGUUAAAGGAAAUCCUGUGAGCGUGCUGUUAUUCAAACAGAGUCCAGAACCCCUGAGAGUCAUUCAACAGCUUUUAUUUAACAGAGAGAGCAAAGGAGGACGCUGUGCCCUAGAAGCUGGAAUGUGACACGGAGAGGGCAGGAGGCAGAAAUAUUCACCACACUGACGGACACAGAUGAGUCAGAAUGAAACUCUGGAGAGCAACCAUAAAAGCCUGUGAUAGUCUUUGACCUGCCCACCCAAUGUGGCCAUCUUCUUCUAAUCUGAUAGGAAGCACUAUAGCUGUCUGUCUGUGACUGAGACCUGAGCUUUUGAUCGCUCAGUCUGAUCUUCUAACAACUCCAUCAUCACCAUCCACGAAAUGAUCAAAGUCAGCUUGUACGAUUAUAAAUACGGCAGGAAGGAAUUGUGGUUAAAAUCAAGCAAUGCUUUGAAAUCACUAAUUAACAGUCUGAAAUCUGAUCUAAAUCAAUGUAAAGAUAAGGAAAGUGACUAAAAAGUGUUAGAUUUGCUGCAGCUUACAUUAUUUUCAUUCUAAGCAAUGAAGUGCCACAUGCUGAAAAACAUGAGAAUUUAGUAGUUGCACUAAUAGUUCUUUUUCCAUAUUGCACGAGAGUGCAUGAUCAAAGAGUAGUCGAGCGUUGACAUAUCUCAUGUGACAUGUCUGUUGAUAACCUCACUAGAUAAUGGCUGGUAAUAAAGCUGUUCGAGCAGAGACAACCAGCUAUAAACAUACCAUGGAAAACAAUGGGCUCUGUACAUUGUUGUCUUGCCUGUUUUCUAUUUUCAAUUCUCAACCGAAUGAAAUACACUGUCACUAACAUAAUAAACUUAAUGGAGAUGUCAUGAUUGAAAAAAACUCUUUUCCCAGGGAAGGUAAUUAAGCAUUUAAUGGGCAUGUUAAUAGUUCUCCAACAGCACAUGAGACCACGUGAGCGAAUAAAAGCAGAGAGACGGAGCCGAUCUCUGCCAGAUGAGAUCCACAGAUUCUGAAGGCACAUUAUGUAGCAGAUUGCAGAGCUACUGAAGUCCAAACUCACUCAUGGAGAUGAUUGGAUUAGUGUGAUUGUUCAAAAGCUUUAUGUAACGUUGAGCAUCUCUGGGAAAAAAAUAAUGAGGAAAUCUUUUCCUAGCCAAAGAUUACAUCUAUAGCAAAAACCAUAUUGAUGAUGCACAUGAAGUGAAAAACACCAAUGCAUUCAAGUAAACGGGUAAUUACAACAUUAUGACUUACCAGCUUUGCGAUUCACAAUGUUACUGAUCUUUGAUUUUGAUCCAGAACUUUUCAAUGGAUAUAAGUAUAAACCACAUCCUUAACAACACCCCAUCCCUCAUUUGUGUUCCUGUUGAAACAACAGGCAUAAGGCUCUGCUGAAGCAGCACAAUUCAGCAUCAGCCAUUCAGCUGCCCCAUGUGCUGGCCUUUACUGCCCUGCUGCCCAGAGUCAACAAACCAGGGCUGAUGGGGUGUGCCUGCAUUUGACACAGAGCCCCUGAUGGCUCAGCACUGGAAAAACUAUAUUAAAAACAUUGAUACAUUCCAUACACUAAGAUAUUCGACAGUAUUCAGUUCAAGUGCGUGGAUUAUAGUCUUAUAUAUCAUUUUAAUUCUUCUAAGAAGAUGUAAUGCAAAACAUAAACAUAAAUUAUGUUACAUUCUUACAUUUCAAGCUUAAAGGGUUUGUUCACCCAAAAAUGAAAAUAAUGCCAUUUAUUACGCACCCUCAUGUCGUUCCACAACCGUAAGACCUUUGUUCAUCUUCGGAACACAAAUUAAGAU